rnacentral:miRNA from 1 species
UGCCUGUUGUGCUGUGAA